rnacentral:lncRNA from 1 species
CACAUCAGUUUUAAGAUUAAAUUUAUUAAACUAAUUUUUGGAGUUUAAACAACAAUUUCGUUUGAAACAUUCUCUGCAUUCAAGAACAAUGUUUGUUUCUGUAUGUAGAAAUCUGACAUUAUAAACAAUAAUUAUAAUUAUGGCUCUACAAGAUUAAGAAAAGUGUCAGCUUUC